rnacentral:lncRNA from 1 species
GCAAAUAUUGGAUACUUGAAGCAAUUGUAUGAUUUGUGGUUUUUGGUAAUAGUGAGUGACUAAGUGCCGUUGAAUGUUAAGCUUGCGAAUACCUAUGAAUUGUCAUCAUAAUUGCAAAUUCUGAAAACGCUAAGUUGACCCAUCGAUCUAUGUAAUGAGAUGCAUGGUUUUGGUUUGUGUUCUUGAUUUGAGUUUACUUGAGGACAAGCAAAAGUUCAAGUUUGGGGGUGUGUUAAGUGUAUAUUUAUACACUUAAUUAUACCUUUUAAUUGGAGCUUUUGGUGUGUUUUUACGAUAAUUGGUGCUUAAUUUGGUUAUUAUUUGUAUUUUAGGUGCAAAUUGAAGAAUUGACAACUUUUGGGGUGAAAACUGCAAAUUCAGAGAAAAAGUGGGCCAAAAGUGAAAAAAUCAGAAAUCUGGAGAAUUAAAGACCGCACGGCCGUGCGGAUUUUAGUUCAAAAUCUCACACGGCCGUCCGGGCUGACGUGAUGGCGCAGUGAAGGGAACUCAAUUAUACAAGGAAACCCGCCCUAUUAGACUUUUGCACCCUAUUUAAAGGCCACAAGCACACAAUUAGACGGAUCCUAUCUUUUACCUUUCAUCUUUAUUUUAGUUUUUAGCUUUUAUCUUUCGACACGCAAUCAAGGAGCAAGAACGAAGACGAAGACUUGACGACUCUUCAUUAUAGUUCUCCUUUUUUAUUGUUUUUAUGAUUUUUCGUAUUUUCAUUAUGUUUUCCGUAACGAACAUGAGUAGCUAAGUUUUUAUUCUAGGAUUUUAUUGGAACCCUAUGUGGUGAUUCGAACCUCUUUUUCGACUUUUAUGCAAGUUUAAUUCUUCGAUUAUUU